GUGAGGAAUAUUGGACAAUGGAGGAAACUCUGAUCCAGCCAUGCCGCGUGAGUGAUGAAGGCCUUCGGGUUGUAAAGCUCUUUCGGGUGUGAAAAUGAUGAUGGUAACACCAGAAGAAGCCCCGGCUAACUCCGUGCCAGCAGCCGCGGUAAUACGGAGGGGGCGAGCGUUGUUCGGAAUCACUGGGCGUAAAGCGUGCGUAGGCGGUUAUACAAUUCAGGAGUGAAAUCCCAGGGCUCAACCUUGGAAUUGCUUUUGAGACUGUAUGACUAGAGAUCUAGAGAGGUUGGGGGAAUUCCGAGUGUAGAGGUGAAAUUCGCAGAUAUUCGGAGGAACACCAGUGGCGUAGGCGCCCAACUGGCUAGAUACUGACGCUGAGGCACGAAAGCGUGGGGAGCAAACAGGAUUAGAAACCCGAGUAGUCC
rnacentral:rRNA from 1 species